GCAUCAUUGUUAGUUCUUCCUGUUUCGUCAGAAUAAAAGUAGACGCAAUAAAGGUUAGCUUCAGAAAUCGUAUUCCGCGCGUUUAUUUCGUUAAUCUACAUUCCCGUUCGGUCGUGUCCGGUUUAUCCACCGAAACGAUUGUAGUCCCCACACCCUCUUUAAACCAUCCUGGAGUCCAUAGCGGACGACGAACAGGUCAGUACCAUGGAUAUCAGUGGGAGUCUGGUAUGGCCCAGAGAAUGAUCAGGCUAUCGUUCGAACGAUUAUGUUGUAAGCUUUGUCGCUCUCAAGAAAUGUUAACCACUAGCAAAGAUAACCAUCUCAUAGCAUAAGUUAGGGCAUCAUAAAGUUUUUAUAGAGUAAGCAUAUUUAUCGUCAGGUCACAGAUGAGACCGGCACUCAGUGAAGUAAUCCAGCUAUGUAAACAAACAAAAUCUGAAAAAUGAUAAAAAAACACAUUAGGCAACUCGGUUUGCAAAAUAAGAAGUUAUUUUAGAGUAUUUUUUGGAACAGAGACGAAGUCUAGUAUUAAGCAGGUUAGAUACUUUGGUUAGGCUCUUUAAGAUUAGGUGAGGUGAGAAGUUUCGGUCAGCAAUCAUGUAGCAUUUGUCACAUGUGAUGCAAUUGCCUAUUAUCCAUACAAACCAAGUUAAUCAAGUUAGCAGGUAUCCACAGAAAGCACUUACAACAUCUUCUAAUCAUGGAAGAGCUGUUAAGGAAGUUUUUGGGUCAAAUUAGAGAAAAUAUGUAGACGAAAAAAAAUAUAUCCACUCAGCUAGCACAUUGAAAAAGAUAAACGUCAAACAGCAUGAAUUCUGCAUGCGCGACUUUUCAGAAAGUUCAUCGCAAUGCCAAAACAGGAUGAAUACAACACUUUUAGACUACCUGCGCAUGCUGUCAGUUAGGUUUCGAAGUAGUUAGAGAUUUUGUCGAAGUACUUUGACGUUUGAUAUAUAUUCAAUUAAGAAGGAACUAUGUAAUUAUGAGUCGUUUCUCCAGAAGAAUCGGGAAGUUGAUGAAUUCGUUAAAGUUAGAUUGGAAUCUGUCGAAUUUUUCAUUUUGACGUUGAACGAAAAUAUUUCGUUAGUAGGCCGAAUGAUUUUGGCAAAUUAUUCAGAACAGAUAAUGCAAAGGUGGUCAAACAAAUCUCCAAUUCACAAGCCAAUAGAAAAUCAAUCAAUAAAGGUAGUUAAAAUAGCCAGUCAUACGGAUAAUAGGUGGUUCUAUAAAAGUAGUAUUUUGUAAUUAGAAAAAAAAAAUAUUUUCUGAGAAUAAGCUCUGAGGAAAUAUUCUUUUUUGUAUGAGUUUGGGAAAGUGUAACGGGGUUACAAAAAUAGCGCGCACUCAGUUUAAAUUUAAAAAUUCAAAUUGGUCGGAGUUGACGGUGAGGGCCCCUCGACUACUCGGGUGGGAUAAAAACGCAGUUGCUCAAAUAAAAGAAUUCGCUCGAAAAUGACUUCAGACUUUCCAACCAAUCAACGACGUACACGUUAGCUCGAAGUCAUGUUGGCUGAUACAUACAGGCCAGUGCCUAAAGAAAAGACUUAUCGUGAAACACUCCAAAUGAGGUCGCACGUGAAGAUAGUCCAAAUGUGGGAGUAGUCGAACAGCUUAUUAGGAAAAGUUAAGAAUUAAUCCUAGUGGAAAACAAAAAAAAAUUGAAAAUAACAUCCACAGAGGAGAAGAAAAAUUGUAAAAAAAAACAACUUGUAAAAGUGAGCCAGAAAGUAGUCCAGGAGAGUACAGGAAAAAAAAAACAAACCAGUUUGGAAAAUCAUUCAAAAGUAUCCUUAUCAAUAAAACUAAUCUUAUCAAAAAUAUGAAACGCUCAAAUGUUCCUGUAAGUAACCAGAUGGAUUCCGCAGUUCUAAAGACAUUUGUUGAAUUUCAACGCUCCUGUGCAUGGUUUAUAAUUUGUCACAUACUGUCGAUAAACUUUUUGGAUUCCGACAGCCGAUGGGCUUUGAAUGAUGACUGGUCGGUUGAUUCGAUAAUGCUUGUCCUGCUUGCCGCCUCCACUUCCACUGGAGUCAAGAUUUUCAUUUUCAUUUCAAACCGUUAAGUACAGAAGAACUUAUUCAAAUUUUUAAUUCCUUGAAAAGAAUGACGAGAAAACUUUUGUAAUCAAUUCGGUAAGAUGGAUUAGACAGGAUUGGACAACAUGAAUAAAAAAAGUGUAAACAACU